rnacentral:rRNA from 1 species
AAUAUUGGACAAUGGGGGUAAACCUGAUCUCGCCCUGCCGCGCGUGUGAAUAAGGUCUUCUGUUUGUAAAGCACUUUAAGUUGGGAGGAAGGGCUUUCGGUUAAUACCCUGAAGUUUUGACGUUACCAACAGAAUAAGCACCCGCUAACUCUGUGCCAGCAGCCGCGGUAAUACAGAGGGUGCAAGCGUUAAUCGGAAUUACUGGGCGUAAAGAGCGCGUAGGUGGUUCAGUAAGAUGGGUGUGAAAUCCCCGGGCUUAACCUGGGAACUGCUUUCAUAACUGCUGAGCUAGAGUACGGUAGAGGGUAGUGGAAUGUCCUGUGUAGCGGUGAAAUGCGUAGAUAUAGGAAGGAACACCAGUGGCGAAGGCGACUACCUGGACUGAUACUGACACUGAGGCGCGAAAGCGUGGGGAGCAAAC